rnacentral:rRNA from 1 species
GCGGCGGACGGGUGAGUAACACGUGGGUAACCUGCCUGUAAGACUGGGAUAACUYCCGGGAAACCGGGGCUAAUACCGGAUGGUUGUUUGAACCGCAUGGUUCAAACAUAAAAGGUGGCUUCGGCUACCACUUACAGAUGGACCCGCGGCGCAUUAGCUAGUUGGUGAGGUAACGGCUCACCAAGGCAACGAUGCGUAGCCGACCUGAGAGGGUGAUCGGCCACACUGGGACUGAGACACGGCCCAGACUCCUACGGGAGGCAGCAGUAGGGAAUCUUCCGCAAUGGACGAAAGUCUGACGGAGCAACGCCGCGUGAGUGAUGAAGGUUUUCGGAUCGUAAAGCUCUGUUGUUAGGGAAGAACAAGUACCGUUCGAAUAGGGCGGUACCUUGACGGUACCUAACCAGAAAGCCACGGCUAACUACGUGCCA